UUGGGAAUCUUGGACAAUGGGGGAAACCCUGAUCCAGCCAUGCCGCGUGAGUGAUGAAGGCCUUAGGGUUGUAAAACUCUUUCGGCGGGGACGAUAAUGACGGUACCCGCAGAAGAAGCUCCGGCUAACUUCGUGCCAGCAGCCGCGGUAAUACGAAGGGGGCUAGCGUUGUUCGGAAUUACUGGGCGUAAAGCGUGCGCAGGCGGUUUUCCAAGUCAGUGGUGAAAGCCCGGAGCUCAACUCCGGAACUGCCAUUGAAACUGUGAAACUCGAGUACGAGAGAGGUGAGUGGAAUUCCCAGUGUAGAGGUGAAAUUCGUAGAUAUUGGGAAGAACACCGGUGGCGAAGGCGGCUCACUGGCUCGUAACUGACGCUCAGGCACGACAGCGUGGGGAUCAAACAG
rnacentral:rRNA from 1 species